rnacentral:rRNA from 1 species
CAGAGGGGGCUAGCGUUGUACGGAAUUACUGGGCGUAAAGGGCGCGUAGGCGGCCCGCUAAGUCGAACGUGAAAUCCCCGGGCUCAACCCGGGAACUGCGUCCGAUACUGGCGGGCUUGAAUCCGGGAGAGGGGAUGUGGAAUUCCAGGUGUAGCGGUGAAAUGCGUAGAUAUCUGGAGGAACACCGGUGGCGAAGGCGGCAUCCUGGACCGGUAUUGACGCUGAGGCGCGAAAGCCAGGGGAGCAAACGGGAUUAGAUACCCCGGUAGUCCUGGCCCUAAACGAUGAAUGCUUGGUGUGGCGGGUAUCGAUCCCUGCCGUGCCGAAGCUAACGCAUUAAGCAUUCCGCCUGGGGAGUACGGUCGCAAGGCUG